rnacentral:rRNA from 1 species
GAGUUUGAUCCUGGCUCAGGAUGAACGCUGGCGGCGUGCCUAAUACAUGCAAGUCGAACGCUUCACUUCGGUGAAGAGUGGCGAACGGGUGAGUAAUACAUAAGUAACCUGGCAUCUACAGGGGGAUAACUGAUGGAAACGUCAGCUAAGACCGCAUAGGUGUAGAGAUCGCAUGAACUCUAUAUGAAAAGUGCUACGGGACUGGUAGAUGAUGGACUUAUGGCGCAUUAGCUUGUUGGUAGGGUAACGGCCUACCAAGGCGACGAUGCGUAGCCGACCUGAGAGGGUGACCGGCCACACUGGGACUGAGACACGGCCCAGACUCCUACGGGAGGCAGCAGUGGGGAAUAUUGCACAAUGGGCGAAAGCCUGAUGCAGCGACGCCGCGUGAGCGAAGAAGUAUUUCGGUAUGUAAAGCUCUAUCAGCAGGGAAGAUAAUGACGGUACCUGACUAAGAAGCACCGGCUAAAUACGUGCCAGCAGCCGCGGUAAUAC